GACGAACGCUGGCGGCGUGCUUAACACAUGCAAGUCGAGCGGUAAGGCCCUUUCGGGGGUACACGAGCGGCGAACGGGUGAGUAACACGUGGGUGACCUGCCCUCAGCUCUGGGAUAAGCCUGGGAAACCGGGUCUAAUACUGGAUAUGACUCCAUGACGCAUGUUGUGGGGUGGAAAGCCUUGUGCGGCUGAGGAUGGGCCCGCGGCCUAUCAGCUUGUUGGUGGGGUGAUGGCCUACCAAGGCGACGACGGGUAGCCGGCCUGAGAGGGCGACCGGCCACACUGGGACUGAGACACGGCCCAGACUCCUACGGGAGGCAGCAGUGGGGAAUCUUGCGCAAUGGGCGAAAGCCUGACGCAGCGACGCCGCGUG
rnacentral:rRNA from 1 species